UGUGUGUUGCCCAGUGGAUGUUGAGCC
rnacentral:piRNA from 1 species